UGGGGAAUUGUUCGCAAUGGGCGCAAGCCUGACGACGCAACGCCGCGUGGAGGAUGAAGACUUUCGGGUCGUAAACUCCUUUCGACCGAGAUGAAUUUCCGCCGACCCAACACGUCGGUGGAGUGACAGUAUCGAGGGAAGAAGCCCCGGCUAACUCCGUGCCAGCAGCCGCGGUAAUACGGGGGGGCAAGCGUUGUUCGGAAUUACUGGGCGUAAAGGGUUCGUAGGUGGCCAACUAAGUCAGACGUGAAAUCCCUCAGCUUAACUGGGGAACUGCGUCUGAUACUGAUUGGCUUGAGUGCAGGAGAGGAACGCGGAAUUCCAGGUGUAGCGGUGAAAUGCGUAGAUAUCUGGAGGAACACCGGUGGCGAAGGCGGCGUUCUGGACUGCAACUGACACUGAGGAACGAAAGCCAGGGGAGCAAACGGGAUUAGAUACCCCGGUAGUCCUGGCCCUAAACGAUGAAUGCUUGGUGUGGCGGGUAUCGAUCCCUGCCGUGCCGAAGUUAACGCGAA
rnacentral:rRNA from 1 species